AAAUUGAAGAGUUUGAUCAUGGCUCAGAUUGAACGCUGGCGGCAGGCCUAACACAUGCAAGUCGAACGGUAACAGGAAGCAGCUUGCUGCUUCGCUGACGAGUGGCGGACGGGUGAGUAAUGUCUGGGAAACUGCCUGAUGGAGGGGGAUAACUACUGGAAACGGUAGCUAAUACCGCAUAAUGUCGCAAGACCAAAGAGGGGGACCUUCGGGCCUCUUGCCAUCGGAUGUGCCCAGAUGGGAUUAGCUUGUUGGUGGGGUAACGGCUCACCAAGGCGACGAUCCCUAGCUGGUCUGAGAGGAUGACCAGCCACACUGGAACUGAGACACGGUCCAGACUCC
rnacentral:rRNA from 1 species